rnacentral:rRNA from 1 species
CUACGGGGCGCACCAGUGGGGAAUAUUGGACAAUGGGGGCAACCCUGAUCCAGCAAUGCCGCGUGUGUGAAGAAGGCCUGCGGGUUGUAAAGCACUUUCAGUAGAGAAGAAAAGCCUGGGGUUAAUACCCCUGAGUCUUGACGUAACCUACAGAAGAAGCACCGGCUAACUCCGUGCCAGCAGCCGCGGUAAUACGGAGGGUGCGAGCGUUAAUCGGAAUUACUGGGCGUAAAGCGCGCGUAGGCGGUUUGGUCAGUCGGAUGUGAAAGCCCCGGGCUUAACCUGGGAAUUGCAUUCGAUACUGCCAAGCUAGAGUAUGGGAGAGGGAAGCGGAAUUUCCGGUGUAGCGGUGAAAUGCGUAGAUAUCGGAAGGAACACCAGUGGCGAAGGCGGCUUCCUGGCCCAAUACUGACGCUGAGGUGCGAAAGCGUGGGGAGCGAACAGGAUUAGAUACCCCUGUAGUC